UGGGGAAUAUUGCACAAUGGGGGAAACCCUGAUGCAGCGACGCCGCGUGAAGGAUGAAGUAUUUCGGUAUGUAAACUUCUAUCAGCAGGGAAGAAAAUGACGGUACCUGACUAAGAAGCCCCGGCUAACUACGUGCCAGCAGCCGCGGUAAUACGUAGGGGGCAAGCGUUAUCCGGAUUUACUGGGUGUAAAGGGAGCGUAGACGGCUGUGCAAGUCUGGAGUGAAAACCCGGGGCUCAACCCCGGGAUUGCUUUGGAAACUGUGUAGCUGGAGUACCGGAGAGGCAAGUGGAAUUCCUCGUGUAGCGGUGAAAUGCGUAGAUAUUAGGAGGAACACCAGUGGCGAAGGCGGCUUGCUGGACGGUAACUGACGUUGAGGCUCGAAAGCGUGGGGAGCAAACA
rnacentral:rRNA from 1 species